CCUACGGGAGGCUGCAGUGAGGAAUCUUCCGCAAUGGGCGAAAGCCUGACGGAGCGACGCCGCGUGGACGAAGAAGGCGGAAACGUUGUAAAGUCCUUUUCUUGAGGAGGAAUAAGCCUGCGAGGGAAUGCGCGGGUGAUGACGGUAAUCGAGGAAUAAGCCCCGGCUAAUUACGUGCCAGCAGCCGCGGUAACACGUAAGGGGCAAGCGUUGUUCGGAAUUAUUGGGCGUAAAGGGCGUGUAGGCGGUUCUGCAAGCCUGGUGUUAAAUACCACAGCUUAACUGUGGGAAAGCGCUGGGAACUGCGGGACUAGAGUUUAGGAGGGGAAGCUAGAAUUCCAGGUGUAGGGGUGAAAUCUGUAGAUAUCUGGAAGAAUACCAGUGGCGAAGGCGAGCUUCUGGCCAUAGACUGACGCUGAUGCGCGAAAGCGUGGGGAGCGAACAGGCUUAGAUACCCCAGUAGUC
rnacentral:rRNA from 1 species